AGACCGGCCUGAGAGAGCUUCUCAAUCUUCGAGAAAGAGAGAAACAUGUGGUGGUGGAAAGAGCAAAGCACUUAUUGCUGACAUUGGAGAAGUUCAGGGAAAUGGCCUGCACUGAGUGAUAUUUCAAGUAUCACCUCUUCUCUUCCUGUAGUCAGCAA